rnacentral:rRNA from 1 species
UAUCUCUGUAGAGUCUGCAUAUCAAUAAGCGGAGGAAAAGAAACUAACAAGGAUUCCCUUAGUAACGGCGAGUGAAGCGGGAAGAGCUCAAAUUUGAAAUCUUCAAGGUUCUACCUUGACGAAUUGUAGUUUAAAGAAGUGUUUUCUGUUAGAUGAGUAGCAAAAGUUCCUUGGAACGGGACAUCAUAGAGGGUGAGAAUCCCGUAUUUGGUUAUUCAUUCUAGCUUUGUGAUACACUUUCAAAGAGUCGGAUUGUUUGGGAAUGCAGUCCAAAAUGGGUGGUAAAUUUCAUCUAAAGCUAAAUAUUGGCGAGAGACCGAUAGCGAACAAGUACCGUGAGGGAAAGAUGAAAAGAACUUUGAAAAGAGAGUUAAACAGUACGUGAAAUUGUCAAAAGGGAAACGUUUGACACCAGUGUUGUUUUUCCGAAAAUCAAUUACGAAUGGCUUGAUUUUGUGUUGUAUUGACCUUAUCAGCUUUCUUCACUUUUUUCGAGUCUUUCUUAAUGCACUUUUCGGUUAACAAGUCAACAUCAAUUUCUUUUGUUGUAAAAGAGUAUUCGGAAGGUGGCUUUCUUUUCGGAGAAAGUGUUUAUAGCCCUAUACUUCUACAAUCGGAGAGAUUGAGGUCUGCAGCGUAGAUCCUUCGGGGUUAGAUACACUUGUGCUAAGUUGUAGCUUUUCAUAGACAACUUGUUGACUAUGUUUAGUCAUGCGGCUUACUCGCUUAUGCUAUUUUACCUACGCUUAGGAUGUUGACUGAUAUGUAGUCGUA